AAAGUCCUCCGUGAAUCUUCAUUCUGCUCUUGUAACCCGCGUAGUUUGCAAUCUCUGAUAAAUCAUAGCCCGGAAAGUUGUAGUGAUUCAGAGACCUCUGAACGUGCGAACAUUGGAACAGUUACAAUCGAGCGGUAGUUCUAUAGGCAAUGUUUCUCCAAGCAGUCAGUGUCGGAAAGUGUCAUUGAUUGUGCAAGGAUAGCGCUUCUACGAUUCCUGUAGACCGUACACUCGGGCAGGAGCUUUGCCAAAGGGUCCCCAUGCCCCCUAAUAACCCCACAGUUUAAUGUGAAGCUCAAUGUAAUACAUUGGGUAAAAAAACCGAACAACUGUUAACAAUGGAUAUCUUGGUUCUC
rnacentral:misc_RNA from 1 species